GCGCGACUCCUGAGGGAUAACUGCGGUUUGCGCGAAAUACCACUGGCGAUAUUCCAUCUUUUCAGCGUCGUAGGCUGUGAGAUGGAGAAAUUGAGUGUUCUCGGGCGUCCAAACCCCUUUGUUCUCGACCAUUUGACCGUUCAGGAUCCAUUGCCUUGUGCCAAUGGCUGUGACCGUUGUCGGUUCCGGCGUCCAUUGGGCUUUCUUUUGCGUGACCGUCUCGCGCCACGAGCCGAUGAAACGUUCCAGGACUUUAAGUUCAGCCGAUUUUGGCGCUGACUCCUGCCCCCGAGACGGCGCCGACAUGAUUAUCAACCCCACAAAAGACGUGAUUGCGAUGAGACUUCGCACGACGGCUCUCCUCUCAGACUUGUUGGGCGCCUAUUUGACAUGC
rnacentral:misc_RNA from 1 species